CCUACGGGUGGCAGCAGUCGAGAAUCAUUCACAAUGGAGGAAACCCUGAUGGUGCGACGCCGCGUGGGGGAAUGAAGGUCUUCGGAUUGUAAACCCCUGUCAUGUGGGAGUAAAUUAAAAAGAUAGUACCACAAUAGGAAGAGACGGCUAACUCUGUGCCAGCAGCAGCGGUAAUACAGAGGUCUCAAGCGUUGUUCGGAAUCACUGGGCGUAAAGCGUGCGUAGGCUGUUUCGUAAGUCGUGUGUGAAAGGCGGGGGCUCAACCGUCGGACGGCACAUGAUACUGGGAGACUAGAGUAAAGGAGGGGGGAGCGGAAUUCGCGGUGUAGCAGUGAAAUGCGUAGAUAUCGAGAAGAACACUCGUGGCGAAGGCAGGUUCCUGGACAGUAACUGACACUGAGGCACGAAGGCGAGGGGAGCGAAAGGGAUUAGAUACCCCUGUAGUC
rnacentral:rRNA from 1 species